AUUUAAGUAGUUUAAAAAAAAUAUUAGUUUGUGGGACUAAUGAUAUAAAUUGUUAUCUUAAA
rnacentral:tRNA from 1 species